UAUUGCCAGACGACGGCGUUUAGUUUUCUUUUAUUCUGCUACCUGCAGAACGACGGCGUUUCAGUGCCCGGCCUCACACAGCGCCCACAACUGUUGACCUCCGCCACCCGCUUCGCCGGGCGUCCGCCGCCGCUUCGCCCGAUGUGCCUAUCACAUGGCGCCGCUUUUUUCCUCCAGUAGUAUGCCUCGCCGCCCUCCUCGUCUAUAUCUUUUCUACGGUUCAAGUUCCAACGGAGCCCUUUUUCCUAGCCAGUUCCCUAUUUCCUCCCACUUCCAUACGUGCGUUGUCCUCCUCCUGCCACUGCUGCAGAAAUAUUUAUCCUCUCAUCUCUAUCUGUUAAUUCUCAGAGAGGGGUGUUUCAGUAACUUCCUUCAAAACUCGGCCAACCUCGCACCGCCACUGCCACUCCGUUCGGUGUCGGCACCUGUUUCGACGUCGCCUCAAUCGAUCCUCGUGCCCGCUUCGUUGAGUGCCCACAACUUUCUCUAUUUGGUGCUUCCUUUUCCGUGGACGCCGUCGAUAUUUGGAGCAAGGGAUAUCCGACUACAAAUGUUGCCGCCUCUAAUUCUGAUGUUUUUGAAGUUGUUUCCGUUUCCUUUGAAGAUUCUGAGUAGCUUGUCAAUAAUUUCGCCACCGCCCGUUGGUGUUUCAAUUUCACUGGAAACACUUAGCUUUCAGAUCUGCUCGUGUGUGAUGGCUGCAGUGUGUGUCCUCGAAACUGCCUCGGCCCAAGAACUGUUUGAAGAUCUUUACCAGUGCCGUUCUGAAAGUAAACAAAGCCAGCAUGAACAUGCCUCACAACUUAUGUUACUUACGGACAUGGAAUUGCCGGUUGCAUGUAUGGUACCGAUAGGACUAUUUGCCCUUCAACGUUAUGGGACCCACAGGGUCGGCUUCUUGUUCGCACCCGUCAUAAUAACAUGGCUUUUCUGCAUCAGUGCCAUUGGUAUAUACAAUAUUUUCCAUUGGAACACAUGUAUAGCAAGCUCUUUCUCCUUAUUACGUGUACAAAUUCCUCAAAAAAACCCAAAUGUUGUGGUUGGAUGCCCUUGGGCGGUAUCCUUCUCUGCAUCCCAGUCGGUGCUGCUGUAAAAAUUUCAGUACAAAAAGAUGGAGGCUUCAGGACUCAUUUUGCAGUCGAUGGCGACCGCCGAACGGCGAAGAUAUCCGGGUGUCCAAUUCCAGAUGAGCUAUGGCGUUUCACGUAUCUCGCUAAUAUUAAUAUGGGCUUUUCCUAUUUGUGAACAUUAGAGAUACAAAGGACCGACCCCUUUACACUUGACACCGCGUCAAAGUCGUCCUCGAUGUGCUCAUAUAUUGCUGGACAAUGGAGCCCUUGUUUGUGCUUCAUAUGGCGGAUAUGGUUUUUUCCCUCGGGCAUUUUCAUGAGCCAGGCAUGUCAAGUACUGGACGGGUGUCGACAUUUUUGUCUUGAAUACUUAUUUUCGUCGCUCUAGGAUUGUAUAUAUCAAGAAACCCACCAGCGGCAGUGGCGUGCCCGCGCAUUUUCAUGAUCCCCUUCAUACAUUUUUAGAUCAAAAUUUGGUUUCUAUCAACAUUGAAGUAAUUCUUGUUGCAGCGGAUGAGAGCAGAUGGCGCGAUUCUAUUAUCAAUGUUAUUGUUCGACUAAUUGAUGAUAAAGCAUGUCUGCUUCUUGUUUAAUGGCAUUGCGGAUUUGUUAGAUGGAUGAGUUCGGCCACGUUUGUUGAUAGCGCCACUUCGACGAGUAGUUGUGCGCUUUAGAUGAUGUGAAAUUGUGUGAGUUGUUCGAUGAGAAAGUUGACGGAGAUUGGUUGUGACCGAAAACCAGUAUUAUAAAGGUCAGAUUUUAAUUCAGUUCAUGAGUUCUUGUUUCUAUUACUCGUUGAUGUAAUCAAUUCAUUUUCAUCGAGUCCAUGCUUUUCUCUGUUCCGAAAAUAGGGAUGUUGUGUUCCAAAAUCUUGACUGUGAUUGUGUUCAAAAAAAGUCGGAAUGUUGAUAAUGGUUUCUCAGUUGGUCAAAAAAUUAUGUAUGAUCGACUUGCUUUCUUCCUUGAUAAA